ACCUGUGUUUAAACUGUAUCUUUUUUCCUCUGCAGUAUUUCAGGAGAAACCAUUCUUGCAGUUUAUUCCAUUUCCAUGCAUGCAUAAUUCUAUCUGCCUAAAGUCCUGUUGGAAACUACUUUCUCAGUGAGUACAUUUAAAGUUUAUUUGCAGUUUUUUUUUUUUAUUUCAAACAGCCGGAUCUACUUUCUACUCCAGCGGAUUGAUCUACCUUCAGUGUUUUCUUCCUCACUCUCUCUAAGCAAAAAAGGAAAGUGAAGAAUAGAAGCAGUAAAAUUGCAAGAAUUGAAGCAAAAAAGCAUAUUUGAACAUGUCCACUAGAUGGGGAUAGCUCUUCACAUAGUACUGCAAAGGGUCAGGAAUCAUUUGGGCGAGAGAAACUCUGGUAACAUUCCCUAUACUUGUUUGCAUAUGUGGGUGUAUAAAUAAGGGGCUUUGAGUGUUGUAAGGGUUACCUUGAGAAAGGCCCAUGUGAGGGCCGAAAUGUUGGAAAAUAUGAAAUCUCUAAUAAAUGGAUAUAUACUUCAA